AAUUAAAAUAAGGUAAAAAUAGAUUAAAAAACAGUAAAUGAAAUAAAUAUAAUUAAAUGUAGAAUAAGGUUGUAAAUAAAAAUAAAUAAAAAAGGUUAUAAAAAAAAAAAGUAAAUCAUUUAUCAAAAAAAGAUUGCUGAGAAAAAUUAAAAAUAAAAUUUGAAUCUCAAGGAAAAUGAGAACCCCGUGACUGUUUUUCCUUGUCAUUAACUCUCCGCGUGGGCACUGACCUCUGUAAUUGAACGACGUCAUUAAACUUGCAAAAGGAAUGG